GUUCAAGAGCAUCAAGACUGUGAUCGAUCAAGGGUGAAUUGUGACUGAAUUACUGAGCUGCAAAUAAUAUUAAGCGGUUAUUUAUAAAUCGAGGUUAAUCUAAAUCAGUCUCGACUCGCCUUAAAAGUCGUAUGCAACGUGGAACGUUCCUCCAACAAUUCAUUGACACCGCUGUGACUGAUAUCUUGUACAGUGGAGACACUUGAGCCUCUGCGUCAUCCACGUCAGCAAUAACUCAUCACUCCUACUCCAGAAUGCCAAAGAGAAAGAGGGCCCCAACAUUUGAUGACAUUGCCUCAGUUGUUGAAAGGCUAGGCCUCUCACCAGAGGAAGUUACAGCAGCGAGCGACCAUCAGGAAAAUGGAUUAUUUUCUGUGAUGGUCAUUGAACUGGAAAGGUCUAACACCCUCAGCUAUCGCUGUCAACUAUACGACGUGUGGAGUAAGGGAAGGAUGGCCAAUGCAUAACCCCACUCCAUCUCCCAGAUUUCCCAUUCACUACCCCCAGGUCCUAUCAAUCACUACCCCAGCAAGUAUACACCACGCGGCAGCUGCCUUUAACACUAGCACAAGCAGCUGAAACGGUUGAUCCCGCUAAGGUAUCCCACCUUCCACCACUCCAACCCAAGCCUGGAUACAUUUUUCUGUUUGCAGGUAGUUCCUCGUCAUGUGAGGACUGGAAGGCUUACCAAAAAAGAUGAAUUCAGAAGGGAUCUCACAGCCUUCCUCGCCGUUCACCAAAACUAAGGGUGCGGUACUAUGCAGGAAAGGAAGCGCCUGUGCUAAUUCACUACUUUGGUGAAGAGGCACACUCCAAUGUCCCCAACCCACGGCAACAGCCAACAGCAGCAAGCAAGGGAUUUAAUCCGAUCAGCUACCUCAAUUAUAGAUGAAAUGUCCCGGCGAAAGACUGAAACACCUGGCAAAGUAUACUCUGAUAUGACCAAUAACCCACCACCACCCCCAAAUGCAUCAUUCAUGCCAGUUUACCGACCUCGCAACUUGGCACAAGUGAAGAACAAUUCGUUGAGCAAGAGACGUCACUGUUUUGGACCGGGACGAGUUGGUGGCAACACAUAUGAUGGGUGACAUUCUCCCUCAUUUGUCACCCAUAUGGGGACUCAACCCGCAACCCUUCUGGCAGUGGCAGCACCAGAAAUGGUUGAAGAGGCCAAGGCAGUUAUUAAAAGCAAACACCAAGGGGCACGCAUUUUUCACUGACACCGCGUUUGACCUCGGCAAUUUUUGUUUCACCCCUUGUUUUCCGUCAUGAAACAUUUCAAGAGGUACCUGUCCUUCCCCUGGCAUUCCUCAUUCACACCACCCGGGCACAUGGAAAACCACAAACCAUUCUUUUGUACCAUUCUUUCAUUCAUUCCC
ensembl:lncRNA